rnacentral:lncRNA from 1 species
GGCAUCUAAUUGCCCAAAGCCGAAUGAGUUCUAUUUCGGCACCACCGUCCUUCCCAUAUUCAAAGUCCUUAUUUUGCUCCUUAAUUUUAACCCUUAGCACAAUUUGUAUUUCAUUCAAACUCCUUCCCACCGUUUAGCAGCCUUAUCUACCCCUUGCACCAUUCCAGCAUGCUGGCUAAGAGAGUCUGAUCAGACUCCAACUCCUUUCCCACGCGAGCAGCAAAAUUGGUCCUCCGCGCACACAGCAGCUCGAACUUUAGACCUCCUCCUGUCCCUGCGCUCCACAUCCUGCUGCUGGCCACUGCACCAAUUUUUCAUUUAC